rnacentral:rRNA from 1 species
UACGUAGGAGGCAAGCGUUGUCCGGAAUUAUUGGGCGUAAAGAGCUCGUAGGCGGUCUGUCGCGUCGGUCGUGAAAACUUGGGGCUUAACCCUGAGCUUGCGGUCGAUACGGGCAUGACUGGAGUUCGGUAGGGGAGACUGGAAUUCCUGGUGUAGCGGUGAAAUGCGCAGAUAUCAGGAGGAACACCGGUGGCGAAGGCGGGUCUCUGGGCCGAUACUGACGCUGAGGAGCGAAAGCGUGGGGAGCGAACAGG